rnacentral:rRNA from 1 species
AACGUAGGACACAAGCGUUAUCCGGAGUUACUGGGCGUAAAGGGCCGUGUAGGCGGACCUAUAAGUCUAUUCUGAAAGCUCCUGGCUAAACUGGGAGAGGCGAAUGGAGACUGUAGAUCUAGAGUGAGGAAGAGGAAAGUGGAAUUCCGCGUGUAGUGGUGAAAUGCGUAGAGAUGCGGAGGAACACCAGUGGCGAAAGCCGACUUCUGGUCCCUAACUGACGCUGAGGCGCGAAAGCAUGGGAGCCAAA